GAUAAAGUGAGCUUUAUAUUUUUGG
rnacentral:piRNA from 1 species